AGUGGGGAAUAUUGGACAAUGGGCGAAAGCCUGAUCCAGCAAUGCCGCGUGUGUGAAGAAGGUCUUCGGAUCGUAAAGCACUUUCGGCGGGGACGAUGAUGACGGUACCCGCAGAAGAAGCCCCGGCUAACUUCGUGCCAGCAGCCGCGGUAAUACGAAGGGGGCUAGCGUUGCUCGGAAUUACUGGGCGUAAAGGGCGCGUAGGCGGCUUAGCCAGUCAGGCGUGAAAUUCCUGGGCUUAACCUGGGGACUGCGCUUGAUACUGCGGGGCUUGAGGCCGAGAGAGGGUGGUGGAAUUCCCAGUGUAGAGGUGAAAUUCGUAGAUAUUGGGAAGAACACCGGUGGCGAAGGCGACCACCUGGCUCGGUACUGACGCUGAGGCGCGACAGCGUGGGGAGCAAA
rnacentral:rRNA from 1 species